UUACACUCAAAUGCAAGGGCAAUUGGGGUGUUAGCUUUACAUAUAUAUACACAUACGCAAGCAGUGAAACCCUAAGCCUCAUCGCCAUUUCUGCAAUCUGAAUAAGGGGCCACAGCGAGCAUAGCAACACCAGAGGAAAUCACACAGUGAGGAACAGAGAGCUGUGCGCUGGAUUUUACGAAACAGUGAGGGCAUGCGUGAACCAUUAAAUUGGAGGCUCAAAUCAUUAAAGUGCAAGGAUGGCCCACAUUUAAUUGCAAGUUGGAAUGAAAAAAUGACCUAACACAUGCCCAUUAAAUUGAAGGUAGAAAGGCUAGCGUAUGUUGAAGCCCAAAUUGGUCAGCCCAAGUGAAGAAUCUGAUUGGAAUUAAAGGCUGGAAUCUGAUUGGAAUUAAAGGCUGGAGGGAGGACUCUCGCACAGCUUCUUGAGGACGCGGUCCCUGGGCUGUAAUUACACUCAAAUGCAAGGGCAAUUGGGGUGUUAGCUUUACAUAUAUAUACACAUACGCAAGCAGUGAAACCCUAAGCCCCAUCGCCAUUUCUGCAAUCUGAAUAAGGGGCCACAGCGAGCAUAGCAACACCAGAGGAAAUCACACAGUGAGGAACAGAGAGCUGUGCGCUGGAUUUUACGAAACAGUGAGGGUCUGUUUUAUUAUUUACGUACAGUAGAAGUUUUUUUUUUUAAUUAAUGCACAGUAAUAUUAGUUUUAAUCUUCCAGUCCUUGAGAGUAUUAUUGUGUUUCUAUUUCAGUUAUUAAAUGUUGUAUUAAGAUCAUUGUUCUUGUUUUCAUUUUUGGUUGUUGCUUAGAUUCUGUUAUUAAUUUCAGUAUUAGAGUAAUAUUGAUGCCUUCCAUUC